rnacentral:rRNA from 1 species
GACGUAGGAGGCGAGCGUUGUCCGGAAUUAUUGGGCGUAAAGAGCUCGUAGGCGGUCUGUCGCGUCGAAUGUGAAAACCCGGGGCUCAACCCCGGGCCUGCAUUCGAUACGGGCAGACUAGAGUUCGGUAGGGGAGUCUGGAAUUCCUGGUGUAGCGGUGAAAUGCGCAGAUAUCAGGAGGAACACCGGUGGCGAAGGCGGGACUCUGGGCCGAUACUGACGCUGAGGAGCGAAAGCGUGGGGAGCAAACAGG